CAGUAGCCACGGGAAGACAGAGGAUGCAAGCGUUAUCCGGAAUGAUUGGGCGUAAAGCGUCUGUAGGUGGCUUUUCAAGUCCGCCGUCAAAUCCCAGGGCUCAACCCUGGACAGGCGGUGGAAACUACCACGCUGGAGUACGGUAGGGGCAGAGGGAAUUUCCGGUGGAGCGGUGAAAUGCGUUGAGAUCGGAAAGAACACCAACGGCGAAGGCACUCUGCUGGGCCGACACUGACACUGAGAGACGAAAGCUAGGGGAGCAAAUGGGAUUAGAUACCCGGGUAGUCCCUGUCUCUUAUAC
rnacentral:rRNA from 1 species